rnacentral:misc_RNA from 1 species
AAGUCGUAACAAGGUUUCCGUAGGUGAACCUGCGGAAGGAUCAUUAACACGUAUCCAACGUUAAAAACACCCCUGUGAACCCGUUAAUCUUGCUCCUCACGCCCUGCACGCCUAGCAAUCCCUGGUAAAUCAUUGUCUGAACAGAUUUUGAGUCAGGGACUUCUGACGUGACGCGAAGAAUGGUAUUGAUACUCCAUCUGCGUGGGAUGACAUGCAAAUCACUUGGCUCCCCAAGCAACCAUGUUUCUAAAAGCGGCUCAUGGAAGCGUAAGGAGACGCUGUAACGUUUUGCUGUAGGCCCACACGGCCGGCAAUCCAAGUGGUUGUACUUCGGUACCCUCACAUCGGCACACCACCGAUGAUAUGUCAAUUUCGCGAAUGGACUAAAAGCCUCGCACCAAAAACCGAACAACUGUUAACAAUGGAUAUCUUGGUUCUCGC